CCGAGCUCAUCAGCUACUAGCUGCCGGUAAGUUGCUUUCCCAUUUGCAUCCAAGGACAAGAAGGUCCUGCCAGGAUUUGGCCCUCCAAUUUGCCGCUACCCAGCCCAAGCUCCCCCUCCGUCUCAUCCCGAACUCCGGCAAUAUAAAUCCAUUAGGUUUGGCCAUGGCGUGGGUUGAUCCGCUGUGUAAGGGAUCUAAAUAAGACUCAGAUCUGGUCAAUUUGGGGCUUGCCCCAAUCUUCGAGCCAACCCUAUGUGAGUUCCUUUUUUUUUUCCUUUUGCUAAGUGGUUCUCGCACAGAUCUUGUUAGCAAGUUGCAUACACGCUCGGAUCUAUUUAGCUUAGAUCCAUGCAUGAAAUUUUGAUUGCUCUAAUUUGUUUGUAAGGAAGAUGCACCCGCACAAAUGUUUCUGGGCAGUAGUGUGUAUGUAGUCCAUAUAGUAAUAACUAGUUGGAUGUUUUAAGAUAAGACAUAUCUUUUAAGUUUCAAACCAGUGCCGAUUUGAGCAUGUUGUGGUUCAUAUGAACAGAUCGAAAAAUAUCUUAAGUUUGAAUUAGAUUUGCUCGUUUUUGUGUGAGAUUCAUAUAUAGUACAAUGUGUUUGCUUGGGAGUUCGGUGUGUGCAGCAAGGAGUUAUCAAUUUUUUUUCAUGAAAUCUGAUCCUUAAACGGUACCAUUAUAGUUGGUACUGGAAAUCUAGCUUGUUACACUAUCCGAUACACCUCCAAUGCAAAAUUCUCAUGGCAGAGAUUUAGGUCUUAAACUUGACCCGGUAACAGGGAUAAAAAGGUUUACCUGUCUUUUGUUCUUAUUAAUUACUCGUAGUUUCAGAAAUAUAUCACACCUUGCGAAGAUCAUUGAUCAAUGACUUCAGCUUUGGUAUAUAACAGCUCUGGCCCGGGCCACUGUAUUUGCUGCAAAAGAUUAUUUCAUAGCAGCUUCCUUCUAUGCAAAGCUUCCACCUCCACCGCUGUCCACCCCUGCCUCCUCCGCCUCCGCCGCCCACCCCGGCCUCCUCCGUCACCGCCCAACCCUGCCUCCUCCAGCCGCGGACUCUCUCUGUCCAAUGGAGGCCUGCGUCCGCACGAUGCAAGACCGGAGGAGGAAGGACAGGAGGCGGCGCGCGCGGCUUCGACCCUCGACGGCGCAGCUCUGGAACGGCGGCAAGGCGAGGAAUGGCAAAGCGACCCGGACGCCUAGGUUUUUCUACCGCCUGGAUGUCUAGGUGACGCCUUGAAAACAGAUAUUGUGCGAGCAUAUAACCAGUACAAAGAGCAAAUCAUAUUUCAUAUGCAAAUCAUAUUGUGUAAGUAAAGAUGAUUCCAAGAUAUUGUCAUUUCUAAAUAUAUAUAUUCAGAAAGGAAGAAUUAUUAUAAA